rnacentral:tRNA from 1 species
CUUAGCUCAACUGGAUAGAGCAGCUGACUUCUAAUCAGCAGGUUCAGGGUUCGAGUCCUU